rnacentral:lncRNA from 1 species
UGGGCGGAGAGUGGUUUCUUGGCCUGACUUUUUACAGCGCCUAGAGCUUUAUCAGAGACACCAGGGUGUUUACUUGACCAGUUAGUUUUGUGUCACCCAACUGCAAGCUUAGUGUUUUAAGUCCCUUCUGAAUGUUUGAAAUGAUUAUGCUCGCGUGGAUCAAAACACAAACACAAAACACAACCAGGAGCUCAGAGCAGAUCCAGAGCAGGCUGAGACAUUCUGGACAACAGAGAGCUAUCAACCCCAGGGCCUCUGCUUCGCCUCCAAGAACAAAGGAGCGGUCAAAGUACUAUCGAAAACCCAGAGAGAGGGGGCCGGGUCAGGAUUGGGGGCAGGGGACACCUCAAAGCUCACAAGGGAAGAAUUAAAAAAGAAACAA